rnacentral:rRNA from 1 species
GACGAACGCUGGCGGCGUGCCUAAUACAUGCAAGUAGGACGCAGUUGCGAACGGGUGAGUAACGCGUAGGUAACUACCUAUUAGAGGGGGAUAACUAUUGGAAACGAUAGCUAAUACCGCAUACUAGUAGCUUGACCUGCGUUGUAUUAGGUAGUAGGUAGGGUAAUGGCCUAACUAGGCAACGAAACAUAGGCGAGCCGGGAGGGUGGUCGGGCACACUGGGAAGUAGAGAAGGCCCCGACUGCUACGGGGGGCAGCGGUAGGGAAUCUUCGGCAAUUGGGGGAACCCUGGACGAGCAACGUCGCGUGAGUGAAGAAGGUUUUCGGAUCGUAAAGGUCUGUUGUUCAGGAAGCGGUACUUGACCAGGAAGGGACGGCUAACUACGUGCCAGCAGCCGCGGUAAUAC